AUUGAACGCUGGCGGCAUGCCUUACACAUGCAAGUCGAGCGGCAGCGGGGACUUCGGUCCGCCAGCGAGUGGCGAACGGGUGAGUAAUGCAUCGGAACGUACCCGGAAGUGGGGGAUAACGUAGCGAAAGUUACGCUAAUACCGCAUAUUCUGUGAGCAGGAAAGAGGGGGAUCUUCGGACCUCUUGCUUUCGGAGCGGCCGAUGUCAGAUUAGCUAGUUGGUGAGGUAAAGGCUCACCAAGGCGACGAUCUGUAGCGGGUCUGAGAGGAUGAUCCGCCACACUGGAACUGAGACACGGUCCAGACUCCUACGGGAGGCAGCAGUGGGGAAUUUUGGACAAUGGGCGCAAGCCUGAUCCAGCCAUGCCGCGUGAGUGAAGAAGGCCUUCGGGUUGUAAAGCUCUUUCGGCCGGGAAGAAAUCGCAUGGAUUAAUACUCUGUGCGGAUGACGGUACCGGCAUAAGAAGCACCGGCUAACUACGUGCCAGCCGCCGCGGUAA
rnacentral:rRNA from 1 species